GCUAUUGUAGCUCAAUAGGUAGAGCAGCUGAUUCGUAAUCAGCAGGUAGUCGGUUCGAAUCCGAUCAAUAGCUCCA
rnacentral:tRNA from 1 species